rnacentral:rRNA from 1 species
CACGUAGGGCGCAAGCGUUGUCCGGAAUUAUUGGGCGUAAAGAGCUCGUAGGCGGUCUGUUGCGUCCGCUGUGAAAACCCGGGGCUUAACCCCUGGCUUGCAGUGGAUACGGACAGACUAGAGGUAGGUAGGGGAGAAUGGAAUUCCCGGUGUAGCGGUGAAAUGCGCAGAUAUCGGGAGGAACACCAGUGGCGAAGGCGGCGAUCUGGGAAGAUACUGACGCUGAGGUGCGAAAGCGUGGGGAGCAAACAGG